rnacentral:lncRNA from 1 species
CGGGGCGGGCGGCGCCUCGCGGGUGGGAAGUACGGUAGCGGCUGCGGCCGCGCCGGCGGGAAGGACCUGCGCCCUGCCUCGGAGGCGGGCUGCAGCAGGCGAAGCCCUUUCCGCCUUGGAGCAGGGGCCCCGAUACGUGCUUAUAACAAGGUCUUGAGCUACACGAGUGAGGCGCGCUCCAGGAUGUGUUGGUGUUGAGUUUUGUGGGGAGUUUUAUUUUCCUUCUAUUAGCGGUAGUACGGUAGAGGCCGUCAUCCCGGUGCCAGCAGCCGGUUGGCUCGGCAGAUAUCAGGGCUUGGAAGCGCGACCGGAGAGCCGAGACGCGGGGCAGGGCGGCACGGACCCGCAGUGUGUCAGUUGGAGGCGAUGAAGGCACCGUGUUUGCCCAGUGGAUAUUCUCGAGGGAAGACCUUACAGAGCUGAGCAUUUCCUUGCCUCUGUUUCCAUGUCACCAUUUUGGGAUUAAGAUGAGCUGAGAGAUUCACCUCCACUGCACUUCAACACUUGGAAUAAUAGUGGCACAAUGUGGUUUCACACUUCUGGAAACUUAAUGUUUUGAGCAUCUUCCAGGGGAGUAUUAAGA